AUGAGGAGGACCAUGUUUUUUUGAGAGUCCCUGAGAGCAGAAUUUGGAUUGGACUGACUGAUGUUUCUCAUGGCGACAUUAUGAUGCAACCAACAGUAUUAAUAUUGGCUGUAUUUCAUUCUGGUGGGCCACUUCUUGAGACGCUCACUGGUUCACUUAAAUGGAACAGAGCCAUUAUCAGCGUUGUCUGCAGUGAGAAAGGUUGAUGCUGCUCAUCGUAAGAUCUGGUUUGGUGUCCACUCCCAACUCCUGAAGAACAUACCUGGCUGAGCGGGCAGAGCAGAGGUUGGCAUCAGGUGCCAAAUUCUUUUUCCAGCGCAUACGGGAGUACUCAGUGAUGAGGGACUCUUGGGGGACCUCAGGGACAUCCAUGGCCAUGGCAAACUGAUUGGCACCCCCUGCUGUCAGACACGCAUGGCUAGUCUGAAACAGAGAUCAACGUUAACAUCUAUAAAAUGCAUCUAUAAACAAAACCUAUUUGCACUUGAAAACCAGAGGACUAUGUUGAAAAAUAAAUAAAUAAAUAAAUGUGCUAGGUUUUCUACUUUAGACUACGAGCAAACUCAUCAAUCACCCCUCGUACAGUAUAUUUACCUUUUGUGCAUGCAGUUUUCAUGCCUUAUCCAUGCUCUUUAUGCCGUAUGUGUACACACCUUGUCCAUAACCAGUCUUGCUAGCUGAACAGGGUUGGCUAUGUUGCGUACAGCAGACACUGCACCGCUUCCCAGUGUCUUCCCAUCCAUCACAAUGGCAUCCAUCUCCACCUCUCCUUUGGCAUUCAGCACUGACCCACACCCUGAAAUAUGAUUUGAGAGACAAUUUCUUAAGGUCUUGCUUCUGGGAACAAAGAAACUUUUGUGUAUAGAGGUGACAUUUGAAUUCAUUUGAAAUGAGAAAAGGGACAUCAUCCUUUCCAUUGUUGAUUACAUAAACUGGUGUGCUGUGCUUUUACAUUACCUGCAUUGAAGGAGGGAUUAUUCUCCAGUUGGGACACAGCCUCUACCACUGCAUCCAUGCUGCUGCCUCCUCCCUGGAGGAUGGUGUACGCUGCUCGGGCUGCUGAGCACACUCCUGAAGUGGACUUAUCUGCCCGCUCCUUUGGGAUAUGACCUGCUCCUCCAUGGACCACCACCACUGGCAACAUGCCAAACACCUGAGAAGGAACUGAGGGGAGAUACAAUGUAAAGCAACAUAUAAACACUAGUUUUGAAUGUGCUACAUUGGACAGUACACUUCUAGCAGUAUUCCUGCGCUAUUUUGGUUAACUGUAAUUCCUCAAAAAUAAAUGUUCAAAUAAAGUCUGGUAACUCUUUUAGCGGAGAACAUGACUGACCAUUAAAACCUUGAAGGUAGAGAUGCUUGUUUUAAAUAUGUUUCUGUUUUUAUCUUUUCAAUUUCUUUUAAAAUGUCUUGUGUUUUAAUUUACGUUAUCAUAUUUUACUAUU